GGACCAUAGCCAGUGGUAGUGCAUCUGCUUUUUAUGCAGAAGGUCCCGGGUUCCAUCCCCAGCGACUCCA